ACAGCAGCAGCCGCGGUAAAACGAAGGGUGCAAGCGUUAAUCGGAAUUACUGGGCGUAAAGCGUGCGUAGGUGGUGGUUUAAGUCCGUUGUGAAAGCCCUGGGCUCAACCUGGAAAUUGCAGUGGAUACUGGGUCACUAGAGUGUGGUAGAGGAUAGUGGAAUUUCCGGUGUAGCAGUGAAAUGCGUAGAGAUCGGAAGGAACAUCUGUGGCGAAGGCGACUAUCUGGGCCAACACUGACACUGAGGCACGAAAGCGUGGGGAGCAAACAGGAUUAGAUACCCCGGUAGUCCCUGUCUCUUAUAA
rnacentral:rRNA from 1 species